UGAUUUGAUGAAGGUCCUGAACGAGC
rnacentral:piRNA from 1 species